rnacentral:tRNA from 1 species
GCAAUGAUGGUUCAGUGGUAGAAAUUUUGCCUUCCAUGCAGGAGACCUGGGUUUGAUUCCUAGCCAGUGCA